rnacentral:rRNA from 1 species
UGCGUAGGGUGCAAGCGUUGUCCGGAAUUAUUGGGCGUAAAGAGCUCGUAGGCGGUUUGUCGCGUCUGCUGUGAAAUCUGGGGGCUCAACCCCCAGCCUGCAGUGGGUACGGGCAGACUAGAGUGCGGUAGGGGAGAUUGGAAUUCCUGGUGUAGCGGUGGAAUGCGCAGAUAUCAGGAGGAACACCGAUGGCGAAGGCAGAUCUCUGGGCCGUAACUGACGCUGAGGAGCGAAAGCAUGGGGAGCGAACAGG